CUUCAACAGCUAAGAGGAAUUGCUUUAAAUGAAAUGAAUUAUUUUGAUUUUAGGAACUCUGUUGGACGCUAAAACAAUAGACUCAGUAGCUCAAUAGCAAAAAUAAUUAAAAUGAGUGUCAUCUACAGAGACCUUUUAUUCAGAGAUGAAGGUUAUUUUCCUCUCUCUGCAUUCAGCUGCGCCAGUGGGGCGGAGGAGCCCACGGCGGUCGCCAGGCUGUGCAUGGGGGAAACAGCCACCACGAGAUCCUGCAGCUGCUGUGGCAGAGCCUGCUGCCCAUCACUUGGAAAUAUUGCAGCGCUACCCAAGUAGAUGGGCAUUCCUAUCCAGAACCAAGGCAGAUACUGUGGCCUUUGCAAAAUCUGCCUUCUCAAAUCAGUUGUAUUUCCAAGAAGAAUUGUAUUUUCAACUCAGAUAUCUGUCCCAUCUGCACGUACCUGACUAUGUUCAAUUAGCAACUUUGACUUUGGCUGUCAGUCUUGAGUUUUUAUUCUUUAGAGCCAGAAAGGAAUCAAACUAUGAAACUUCAGAACUGCGCAUCACAAGGACUCCUCUAAACCAAUUGCUGCAGUUUUGAGAUGGAGAAUUUAAGACCUCAGAAUAGAGUUCAAUUCAAAGAUGUCAUGUCAUUACUGAUUUCUUUAGUAACAAUCACAGAAGAUUUUUAAGGUAAAAAAUAAAUUGUGCAGAAUGAAAAUACUUUUUCA
rnacentral:lncRNA from 1 species